AUGCGCCGCACCGUCUCCCUUGGCGCGGGAACGUCACUGUCCGCGCCAGUCUUCGUCACGCUGUCAGGGUUCUUCGCCUACUUCGAGCACCGCCGCCGCACUUUUAACCUAGCCGCCGCCGACGUCAGGCCGCCGCCGCCGCUCUUCUUUGGCUGCCGCCGCCGCUACCUCCGUAGCCGCCGGAGCCGCCCGUCCACCCCCUUCAUCUUCGUCCAGCACCAGCUCAUCGCCAGCGUCGCCGUAAUCUACUCCAACCGCUUCAUCUACUCUGACAAACCGCUGGCGACAUUGGCCCCGCGCCGAUUGGCGCCACAACCGUCGUCAAGUUCUUCUAUGCUGGCCCCUCCGACUUCUCCGACAUGGCGUACAGCUCGUGUAGGUCCCUCGUCUACGCAUGCUCGGUGCUGGCAACACUGA
rnacentral:rRNA from 1 species